rnacentral:tRNA from 1 species
GGAGGUGUGGCCGAGUGGUCGAUGGCGGCAGUCUUGAAAACUGUUGAGCUGAAAGGCUCCGGGGGUUCGAAUCCCUCCGCCUCCG